UCCGUAGGCGGGUUGAUAAGUCAGUGGUGAAAGUUUGCGGCUCAACCGUAAAAUUGCCAUUGAUACUGUAGACCUUGAAUUAGUGUGAAGUGGUUAGAAUGUGUAGUGUAGCGGUGAAAUGCAUAGAUAUUACACAGAAUACCAAUUGCGAUGGCAGAUCACUAACACUAUAUUGACGCUGAGGGACGAAAGCGUGGGGAGCGAACAGGAUUAGAUACCCUGGUAGUCC
rnacentral:rRNA from 1 species